rnacentral:rRNA from 1 species
AGCGCAUACGGUGGAUGCCUUGGCAGUCAGAGGCGAUGAAAGACGUGGUAGCCUGCGAAAAGCUUCGGGGAGUCGGCAAACAGACUUUGAUCCGGAGAUCUCUGAAUGGGGGAACCCACCUAGGAUAACCUAGGUAUCUUGUACUGAAUCCAUAGGUGCAAGAGGCGAACCAGGGGAACUGAAACAUCUAAGUACCCUGAGGAAAAGAAAUCAACCGAGAUUCCCUUAGUAGUGGCGAGCGAACGGGGAUUAGCCCUUAAGCUUCAUUGAUUUUAGCGGAACGCUCUGGAAAGUGCGGCCAUAGUGGGUGAUAGCCCCGUACGCGAAAGGAUCUUUGAAGUGAAAUCGAGUAGGACGGAGCACGAGAAACUUUGUCUGAACAUGGGGGGACCAUCCUCCAAGGCUAAAUACUACUGACUGACCGAUAGUGAACCAGUACCGUGAGGGAAAGGCGAAAAGAACCCCGGAGAGGGGAGUGAAAUAGAACCUGAAACCGUAUGCGUACAAGCAGUGGGAGCCUACUUGUUAGGUGACUGCGUACCUUUUGUAUAAUGGGUCAGCGACUUAUAUUCAGUGGCAAGCUUAACCGUAUAGGGUAGGCGUAGCGAAAGCGAGUCUUAAUAGGGCGUUUAGUCGCUGGGUAUAGACCCGAAACCGGGCGAUCUAUCCAUGAGCAGGUUGAAGGUUAGGUAACACUGACUGGAGGACCGAACCCACUCCCGUUGAAAAGGUAGGGGAUGACUUGUGGAUCGGAGUGAAAGGCUAAUCAAGCUCGGAGAUAGCUGGUUCUCCUCGAAAGCUAUUUAGGUAGCGCCUCAUGUAUCACUCUGGGGGGUAGAGCACUGUUUCGGCUAGGGGGUCAUCCCGACUUACCAAACCGAUGCAAACUCCGAAUACCCAGAAGUGCCGAGCAUGGGAGACACACGGCGGGUGCUAACGUCCGUCGUGAAAAGGGAAACAACCCAGACCGCCAGCUAAGGUCCCAAAGUUGUGGUUAAGUGGUAAACGAUGUGGGAAGGCUUAGACAGCUAGGAGGUUGGCUUAGAAGCAGCCACCCUUUAAAGAAAGCGUAAUAGCUCACUAGUCGAGUCGGCCUGCGCGGAAGAUGUAACGGGGCUCAAACCACACACCGAAGCUGCGGGUGUCACGUAAGUGACGCGGUAGAGGAGCGUUCUGUAAGCCUGUGAAGGUGAGUUGAGAAGCUUGCUGGAGGUAUCAGAAGUGCGAAUGCUGACAUGAGUAACGACAAUGGGUGUGAAAAACACCCACGCCGAAAGACCAAGGGUUCCUGCGCAACGUUAAUCGACGCAGGGUUAGUCGGUUCCUAAGGCGAGGCUGAAAAGCGUAGUCGAUGGGAAACAGGUUAAUAUUCCUGUACUUCUGGUUACUGCGAUGGAGGGACGGAGAAGGCUAGGCCAGCUUGGCGUUGGUUGUCCAAGUUUAAGGUGGUAGGCUGAAAUCUUAGGUAAAUCCGGGGUUUCAAGGCCGAGAGCUGAUGACGAGUCGUCUUUUAGAUGACGAAGUGGUUGAUGCCAUGCUUCCAAGAAAAGCUUCUAAGCUUCAGGUAACCAGGAACCGUACCCCAAACCGACACAGGUGGUCGGGUAGAGAAUACCAAGGCGCUUGAGAGAACUCGGGUGAAGGAACUAGGCAAAAUGGCACCGUAACUUCGGGAGAAGGUGCGCCGGCUAGGGUGAAGGAUUUACUCCGUAAGCUCUGGCUGGUCGAAGAUACCAGGCCGCUGCGACUGUUUAUUAAAAACACAGCACUCUGCAAACACGAAAGUGGACGUAUAGGGUGUGACGCCUGCCCGGUGCCGGAAGGUUAAUUGAUGGGGUUAGCGCAAGCGAAGCUCUUGAUCGAAGCCCCGGUAAACGGCGGCCGUAACUAUAACGGUCCUAAGGUAGCGAAAUUCCUUGUCGGGUAAGUUCCGACCUGCACGAAUGGCGUAACGAUGGCGGCGCUGUCUCCACCCGAGACUCAGUGAAAUUGAAAUCGCUGUGAAGAUGCAGUGUAUCCGCGGCUAGACGGAAAGACCCCGUGAACCUUUACUGUAGCUUUGCACUGGACUUUGAGCCUGCUUGUGUAGGAUAGGUGGGAGGCUUUGAAGCGUGGACGCCAGUUCGCGUGGAGCCAUCCUUGAAAUACCACCCUGGCAUGCUUGAGGUUCUAACUCUGGUCCGUAAUCCGGAUCGAGGACAGUGUAUGGUGGGCAGUUUGACUGGGGCGGUCUCCUCCUAAAGAGUAACGGAGGAGUACGAAGGUGCGCUCAGACCGGUCGGAAAUCGGUCGCAGAGUAUAAAGGCAAAAGCGCGCUUGACUGCGAGACAGACACGUCGAGCAGGUACGAAAGUAGGGCUUAGUGAUCCGGUGGUUCUGUAUGGAAGGGCCAUCGCUCAACGGAUAAAAGGUACUCCGGGGAUAACAGGCUGAUACCGCCCAAGAGUUCAUAUCGACGGCGGUGUUUGGCACCUCGAUGUCGGCUCAUCACAUCCUGGGGCUGAAGCCGGUCCCAAGGGUAUGGCUGUUCGCCAUUUAAAGUGGUACGCGAGCUGGGUUUAGAACGUCGUGAGACAGUUCGGUCCCUAUCUGCCGUGGACGUUUGAGAUUUGAGAGGGGCUGCUCCUAGUACGAGAGGACCGGAGUGGACGAACCUCUGGUGUUCCGGUUGUCACGCCAGUGGCAUUGCCGGGUAGCUAUGUUCGGAAAAGAUAACCGCUGAAAGCAUCUAAGCGGGAAACUUGCCUCAAGAUGAGAUCUCACUGGGAACUUGAUUCCCCUGAAGGGCCGUCGAAGACUACGACGUUGAUAGGCUGGGUGUGUAAGCGUUGU